GCGAGGUAGAGCAAUUAAGCAGCAAAUAAGUCACUAUAACGAUACAUCGAUUAAUCAUAAAUCUUUCUAGCCAUAAGGAUAAGAUCAUUUUUUUUAGCACAGCAAGACCAGGUACGGUAUCAAAGUCCAAAUCUUCUUUAUUCAUCCCAGUUGGCAUUUCCCAAUCAAACUUGUAAAGAUGAUUAGCAAUGACAAGCUCCACUUCUGCAACUCCUAUACGCAUUCCUGGGCAAACCCUUCUACCCGCACCAAACGGUAAGAACUCAAAGUUCAGUCCUUUGUAGUCAAUGGAGUUGCCAAGGAACCUUUCAGGGCAAAACUCUUCUGGGUUUUACAAAUCCUUUUUUCCCAACCAAAUCCCUUACUUCCGCUUGAGUUUUCUUUAAACAUUCUGGGUUUUUCAUCAAGGCACUCAUGACCCAAAUCACAGUGGCUGCGGCUGUGUCAGUUCCAGCAAUAAACACGUUCUGCAUAACAAAGAAAGUAAAAGAAAAAAAAAGCCAUGGUUAUGUUAUAUAUUUGCAUAAAGUGUGAAGCUAAUGAUAAAAAAAAAGAAGUGAAGAUGAGAUGACCAUAAGAAUAGCUUUUAUAUGAUCUAUGGUAAGAUCAAAUGGAAAAUCACGAUCCAUCCUUAUUCGUGGUAACACGUCAAUUAGGUCUUCUUUCUGUGGUAUUAGCUAUUCGGAUCAAGAUGUUCAUCAAUGAGUUGCAGGUAGAAGGUAUCAAGUUCUUUGAAAGCUUUUUCAAGACGAGUGAGAAACCCAGUGAAUCUAUCCACCCAACCCAUGAAAGGAAAAUAGUCAGAGAAACUAAAGCAUGACAACAUGGCUUCAGUUUCUUUGAGCAGCUCAUGGAACCUGCUUCUUUCAGCUCCAUCAUCAUACCUCUUUCCGAAACCUAUUCUGCAAAUUAUUGAACUUGAAAGGCACAUCAUUGCCUCACUCAAGUUGACAGGAUUAGAAUCAACCGAUAAUUGGCUUAUUUUUUCAACCAGGCGACCGAUUUGGUCUUCUCGGAUGGGACGAUACUUUUGCACUCUGCUAAAGAGAUGUACAACACAAAGUUUCCUCAUCUCCUUCAAAUAGUCCGUGUAUGGUGAAAAAGCCAAAUCCAAGGCGUUGUAAGAUAAUCUCAUAGCAUCACGUAGACUAGGCCUGCUGCAAAAGUCGAGGUCAUGGGUUUUCAAAACCGCUUCAGCCAUUUUUGCUGAAGAAACUACAAGGGUUGGCUUAAAUCCAAAUCGCAAGGACAUAAGAGGACCAUAGUUUUGAGAGGGUUUCCAAAGGAAAAUAUGAGGGAGGAGUGAGUUAUCAAGCAUCAGCAUACGUAAGUGACCAAUGAAGGGAAGACCUGGAGGGCCUGGGGGGAGAUGAUUAAAAUUGCCAUUGUUGCUAAUGCUCUGUUUUAGCAGAAUUAUGAAGAGAAAGAAGGGGAGAGCUAGAAGAAAUAUCAUGAAUAGUGUAAUUGCCAUUCUGUUCCACCAAUCUGUGUGAAACUUGAGGGAAAGAUUUACAAUUAGAUGAGCAUGUAUUUAACAUGCAGUUCUCUAUUCUGCAUGAAGUUGACAUUGUGCGACUCUUUCGGUGUUCAUGGGCUUUGCUUAAGUGGUGGAGUAGAUAUCUUUUUUACUAAUACUAAUUCCUUUAAUAAGUUUGAUGUGAUUAAUCAAUCGAUAAUUAAUUUAAUUAAAAUAUUUUUUUAUAUAAAAAAAGCAACAAAUAUUAAUAUUUUUAUUUUUCAUAUAUUUUAAUAAAAUAAUACUAUGACAAAAUUUAAGCUUAAAGUACAUGAGUUUUAACUUUUAAACAUAAAUGCUAUAAUCUAGUUAUUUAUUUAUAUACGUACUAUUAUAAAACAUUUGAUUGAAUUUUAAUAUCAUUUGAUUUAUUGACGUCAACUAAACAUUAAGAAAAUCAAAAUUAAAUUAUAAUAAACAUAUCAAAUAAACGUAAAAAUGUUAUCUACUACAAAAAAAAUUAAAAAAUUAAAAAAUCACCAUGUAAGCAAAAAGAUGAAGGAAGCUGGUUUGUCGGGUGAUGAUGGUAUAAAAUUGGGAUAACAGGUCAUUUGUGUUUUUUUUAAUAAUUUAAUAUUUUUUUAAUAUUUUCAUCUUGAAAAAAAAAUCAAAUUCAACAUAAUGUGCUGAAAUUUAGGAUAAAAUGCUGAAAUAACAUUAAAUUAUUAGAAAAUGAUACAAAUGACAUUCCAAUCUCAAAUAACCCUUUCUCAUGGGUUAUAUUAACCUAGUUUUAAUCGAGAUCAACCUUAAACCUUAAAAGUCAACUUGUUUAAAAAGGUUAAGAUAAGUAUUAAAAUUAUAAAUAAAUUUUGGUUUAAUAAGAAAUUUGAUACAUGAAAUUUAUCAAAUUUGAUUUGGUGUAAUUAUACACAUAAAAUUUUAGUUGUAGUUCUGACCGCCUAUAAUCGUGUUAUCGUUUAUAGUAUAAAUAUCACACCAAAAAUAUAUUGAAUUAAAUCGGCAGUGUCCACAAGCGUACGGGUCAAAUUGUAAUAUAGUUAAGUUUACAACGAAACACCGGUAAGUAUUUCGAGGAUCGUACCCAAGGGAUUGCAAAUUGGAGAAACUAUUAUUAAAUUAAUUACAAAAAAUAAUUACUGAUCUAAUCAAGUCACGAAUUAAUAUUGUGAAUCCAAAUCAAAAUAUUAAUUAAACUAAUUAAAUUACUUAACCUAAAUUAACCUAAUGAAAUUUCCUAUUCCUAGUGUCGACAAUGUGAGACUCUAGCCUAUGAUCGAUUAAAUCCCUAAUUAUCUAAUUAAAUAAUUAAUUAUCCUAUAUUGAGUUAUUUAUCACCCUUAGCUAUGAAUGCCUUUCUGAUCUAAUAUUCACUAAGGAUUACCACCUAAGUCACCCUUUGGGUCUCUUCCUAGGCAUACAAAUACCCUUCUGGUCUCUCUGCUUGGAACAAGUUAUACACGAUAGGAUACCCUUCCGGUUUCACUUGUCUUAAUAUUCUACUAGGGGCGUUACUCCCUAAUAUACUAAGCACUCUUGAAUAAACAAACAAUUUCAGAUAAAGAAUCACUUAACAGAUAAAUUAGUUUAAUAAUCAAAUCAUGCGAGAUAUAAAUAAAGCACAACAAUCUAUUCUAAUAUUCAUACAACGAUUAAUUGGUCAGAUUAAUGGAAGAUAAAUAAAAGAAUAGAAGAUAAGAGAUAAGAGAAUGCUCAUAAAUAUAUAUUGAAGCGCAGAUCCGGAGCAAUCUUCACUCACGAUUGUCUUCACAUCGGAAUAGAAAAAUUCCAACUACACAGACAUGAAAAGAAAAGAAAACUAAAAACUGAAUAAAAUUGUCACUGUCUAAAACUGCACACAAUUCCAGUGACCCUAAGGUUGCUUAUAUAGGCAACAAGCUACUUGGUGACCAUUCAACCUUAGAUACAUUUAGAUACCAAUUAAUGCAAUAUUUUGAUAAUUUCUAGGGUCCGAAUAUGGAAAUAUCCCAAGAGUGCCGUUCAAGGAUUCAGCUCCAUUUUGGCCUGCCAUCGUCGCAUCAUCGUGACGUGGGAAGACUCCUCAUCAUAAUGUUGACACUGUCAAUUUCUUCUUAAGAUCAUCGCAUCGUCAUGAUAAGAGGAAACUCCUCGUCACGAUGUCGAGUGCUUUCUCGGCCUUGGCAGCUUCGUUGUUCUAUUGGGCUCCCUUGUCUCGUGUCCCGAUCAUCAUCCAUUGUAUUCUUGGACCUGAAUUGACAUCCUACACACUUAAAUAGCCCAAUAGUCACUCACGAGGCUCGAGUCGGCUUUACGAGUCAUCGAAACGGUAGAAAAUGCGUAAAAACGCUUAUUUUAUUAAUAUUUAGUUACUAACCUCCUAAUAUUGAAAAUAUAAUAAUUAAUAUUAAAAUACCAAGAAAGUAAACUCAUUAAGUGCAGAAAUGACCUAAAACAACAACUACAUUUGAUGUCAGGUCAAGUUCAAAUGUAUACAUAAAAUUUUGAUUUUGAUUCAAUUGUAUACUUCUAAAGAAAUAAUACAUCAAUUUAUUUUUUAUAUUUGAUAAAUGUAAUUUAUUGCAUAUGCAAUAAUGGUAAUUUAUCAGUAAUUGUAUUAGUAAUUUAUGAAAAAUAAAUCAAAUUAGAAUUUCGUAAAUGAAAUUAUACAAAAAAUUAAAAUUUAUGUAUACCAUUACACAUUUGACCAAAUUUCAUAUAUUUAUCCCAAAAUAUUAAAGUCAUGGUAACCAAUUCAAUGGUGUAAAGGACUUAAAACCAAAAUUGCAGGAAAAGUCUACCAAACUAAUAAAUAUGCACAAAAGGUCUAUUAGUGUAAUUCCAAUUUUCUUAUAUCUACUCUCAAAUUAGAACCUGGCAACUCAUUCCCUUUCAUUUAUAAAAGAAAAAUUGCAAUGAAGAAAAGAUGGGCCAAAAGCAAUCAAUCUCAAUAAUUGAACUAUGAGCAGCCUUAAAAGUCACCUUGUGUUUUUUAAUUUUUUAAUUUUAUUUUUACAAAAUGGUCUAACUUGUUUUAAAAUGCUAACUAGUUAAGAAAAUAAAGAAAAUAAUUUAAUGUAUGUAUUCAUUUUAUAUAAAAAUACAAAUUUGUGUGUAUAUAGAAUACAUAAAAACUUAACAUAUUUUUGAAAUAUAAAUAAUUUUAACAUAAUUAUAUUUUACUUUUCAUAAUGUAUUACUUAUUAAAAUAUAAAUAUCUAUACUAUUAAUAAAACCCAUAGCUAAGUUGCUGUCAAGAGUCACCAGGCACUAACUCGAUUAGGAAAAAAAAUGUAAAAAUGACAUUACGUAUUUAAAAUAAGUUAUAUUAUUUUAAGGUACUUUAAUCUUUUUAAUUUAAAAAAUAAUAAAAUAUAUACAUAUGAUGGGAUUUGAACCCAUGCCAAGUACAUUAAAAAAACUUCAAAAUUUUCACUCAAUUAAAAUUUUAUUUUAAUUUAUUUAUACAUUUUAAUUUUAUUAUGCACAUUUUAACUGUAUAUCUAUACUAUUAAUUAAACUUGUGACUAAGUUGAUGCCACGGGUUAAUCGGGAAAUUACUUUAAUGUUCCCUCACAUAUAAAAUAAUUUAUAUUAUUUGGGGGCACUUUAAGUGUUUUUUUUUUGUUUAACAAAAAACUAAUAAAAAUAAAGAUAUACAUAUGGUGAGAUUGGAACUCACAUCAGUUGGAUUGGUGAAAUGCUAAAUUUACCACUCAAUCAAAACAUCAUUUUGAUAUAUUUUAUACAUUUUUACUUUGAUAUGUAGUUAAUUGAGUUGGUGUCACAAAUAAACUUAACACUAACUCAUGAUUGAUGACAACGCUAUGAUAAACAAUUAUAGUACAUUUAGUAUUGUUAAUUUGAUGUAUUUACGUGUUUAAAUUUUGUUCACUCAUAAUUUAAUCUAAGUCUUUUUUUUUAAUAUUGUGCAUAUUUCAUGUGUUAUUAUGAUUAGUUAGUUUCAAACUAUAUGUUUUAUUAUUUAUUAUAUGUUAUUUUUAAAUACAUAUCUAUAUUGUAUGUGUCAUAAUUUUCCCUUUAUAUAAAUACAAUUAAUAAUAUUAUUUUAUUUUAAUGUGUGAAAUCCUCCAUCUUUUAUUUUUUUAAUUAUAUAAUUAUGCGAGGUAAUACUUGACACGAAAAAUUUAUAGAAAUUUUCCUUUAACUAAAGUUUUACCCCAUUAAAUUCUUUUGGUAAAGGUUUAAUGAGACAACUUAUUGUGAGAGGUUGUAUACUCUAUUUCUUUCAUUAGAUUUUUUCCUUUGAUGGAUGUUCAUAGAGGAGUUCUGUAAAUAUUUUAUAAGUGAAUAUUCUUCCAACUCUUAUAACCCCAGUAAUUAUAUAAAUGACCUUUCAACUCCUAAAACUCUCAUUAUUUCAUGUGUCAAUUUCAAACAAAACAAAAAACUUAUUUGCCUAAGAGUGUGUUUGAUAAAUUGAAAAUUGAAGUGUUGAAAACUUACGUACGGAAUUUUGAAUUCAAUUUUAGAAGCACUGAAUUUAUAUUAUAAAAUUCUUUAAUACAUUAGUCAAAAUUAAGUACUGAAUAUAAUUAUUUUGUUUGAUAAUAUAUAGUAAAUUUUCAUUUUUGAAAAUUCAUUAUUUCAUUAUUUUAAUCUUCUUAAUAUGGUAUUAUUUAUUUUAUUUUGAAUAGCUUUGGAUAAAAGUUAAAGAUAAUUUUAAUAUUUUAAUAUUUAAUAAAAUGAGGAAAUAAUUUGUUUCAAAAAUAAAAAUUUUGAAAAAUAGAAUCAAAUUAAUAUUUCCAGCAUUAAGUGUAAUUAUCUACUUACUUAUCCUAUUCAAUACUUUUUUUGAUUGAAUCUUUUUUAAGUAAAAAUUUAAUAUAAUUAUCAAACACAACUAAAAAAUAAAUAAACACACAUUUGCCUUAAAAAUAAAUCCCUACUUUGUUAGUGUUAUACCUACACCACAAACCCCAAUAUUUGCCCAUUGUGAAACCCAACACGUAUUCUCUAGCGAAGUCGGCUCUUCAACGAACCACACAUAUCCAACUUGCUAAGUUGUGAACCUUAAUCCGACAAACCUCAUGUACUGCACACCUUCGCCAAUCAUAUGUGAGGUACACAUGAGAAAGCUUAGUCAUUACUUACCAACUGUCCUAAGACGUCAUAUCCUAAGACGUUACAUCACCACCACUACUAGAGGAUUAAAUCAGAUCACCAUGUCAAUAGUUCCCAGGCAUUUAGAUAGUCCUAUUCCCCACUAUAAAAGAGCCCAUGCAAUAGCUCAUAGACUCAUGAACACCUCCUAUAUCAUUUUUGUAACACCCCAAACUCAGUCUAGACAUUAUGGCCGAAUCCGGGAGUGUUGCGAAGAAGAGUUUUGAAAUUGUUUUUAUUUCGACAAAAACCUUAUAAAGUUACUUGUUAUAAAAUGUCCAAAUUUUACAAAACAUAUUAAUUUACUUGUUUAUUAUCGAAACUUUCAUGAGUUUAUUCAUUCACCAAAACAUAAUUUGCAGCGAAAAUCUUAAAAGUCAUUAUAUUUAAGAAUUCGCAAAUCUAGAUUGGCUAAUUGUUCUCAAAUAGCACCUGCUCCGGUAGAAAUUUUGCGACUUCGAAAUGUAUCGAAACCUUGGGUAGUAAAAAAAAGUGGGAUACUGUAUUUCCAGGAUUGAAUUUCAUAUUCGAAUGAACCUCGUAAUCGUAAGAAAGUAGGUUUUUUAGUGAUGGGCCUAGCAAAAGAAAAAUUAGGAUAGGGCCCUGCGGGAUCCCCCCUCAAAAUCAGACAUGAGAGUUUCCUCUCAUCCGGCUCAAGUAGUUACACCAAAUAAAGAUAAAGUAAAGGAGUUCUCGCUUUCAAAUUCUAGAACCCCCAAAAAAGGUCUACUCUUUACUCAAGUUCCAAGAAACAUUUCAUUGAUUGAUUCUUCUUUUAUCGAUUUAUUGAUUUAGAUUUUCUUAAUUUUUUAUUCAAUUCAAAAUUAGGACAUAAAUGAAAUGUGAAAUUCUUGAGUAGUCUACUUCCCCUCGAAUGCUGAAUCCUCUUAAAUUAAAAUUAAAGGAGUGUUAUAAGGGAUUUACUUGUCUAUGUACCCUUUCAUUCCUAAGUCAAAGGAUCGAGAAACUCAACAACGCCACUAUUCUUGAACAACUUGGAGCCAGGCUUUCCUUUCGCACAAUUACGGAUAUGAAAAUAAUGGAAAAAGUUGGAUUCAAUUGUCAACUGCUCCUAUCGAAAAUAGGAUUGACUACGGAUUCGAGCCAUAUACACAUGGUUUCAUAAAACCGUACGAUUCUCUCGAUCUAAAUCAAGCAGGUUUUACAUGAAGAAGGUUUGCCUCAGCAUGUUCUAUUCGAUACGAGUAGGAGAAGUGGUAUUCUUAAAAAAAAUAGAAAAAUCAGAACCAAGUCAAGAUGAUACGGAUCAGCCCCUUCUUCUUGCGCCAAAGAUCUUACCAUUUCCCAGUUCGUGUUUCUAGAAAAACCUUUGUUUGCGUAAAACUGUCGUUUUCAUAAAUCGUUUCAACAACAAUGAAGGAUAGAAAACAAUCAAAACCAAAACCAACAGUUAAAACCAUACAGUCCAGAGAGUCCCAAAAAUUACAACUUUCAAAUAAAUCCAAAAUUUUAAAAAUACUGAAACUUAAAGGCAGUUUUAUCUAGUGGUCACCGUUGAGCCGUCAUCGCACCGACCUACUUAAAUCCAAGGGUUACCUGUACAUAACAUACAAAUAGAUGUGAGUUUUCAUUUCCUUUGCAUAUACAACUCCCACCCCAAACACAGAUACAAAAUUAAUAGAUUUAACAUGCUUAACAUGCUCGUAUACAAAUAACAUAAUACUUAAACAGUACGAUCAGACAUACAUAUUCAAUUUUCUACUCAGAUCAGACUAUCAGAAUAUCAGAUCACAUGAAAAAGGGUUUGAUUAGCCAUUACCGACCCUAUGGUAGGCUCACAGUCGAUCGGAUCGACCCGUGAAACCUUAGGAACAAUUCUAGAAUCUUAGGCCCACACACCUAGAUUGGCCUUAACUGUGUGGCCCACACGGCCUGGCCCAAAACCCACAUGCCCGUGUGGCAUGUCCAUGUGGGCUCAUACGGCCAACUUGGCUUAGCCCGUGUGGCCCACAUGGCCACACCUUCACCGUCACACGGCUGUGUCUCGCACACGGCCUCACCUUCUACAGUCACACAGCUGUGUGUCGCACAAGGCCAGCCACACGCCCGUGUGGCAUCGACAGACCAAAUUUUUGGCUUUCGUCGAACCUCAUUUUCUCGUGUUUUAGGUACACACCUAGUAUGGUUUUGAUACGAAAGCAAUCUUGAGCCCUUUCAAACCUAAAAACUAGUACCCCAAACACCGAUUUAGCAACCAAAACACAAAUUCACGAUAGGAUUUCAACAAUGCCCAAGAACUCACCGCCGACGAUAAACCCCCAUUAACAUGUACUAAGCCGUUGAAGUGUAAUUUUUCGCCUCACAGCCUUCACCUAAUCACAGAUUUCAUCGAUUAAUCACCAAUUAAUGGCCACCAUUUAACAUCACUAACAUCUCAAAAACCAAACGUUAACGACAAACGAAGUUCUACUUACCAAGCCGAUUAAAGAACUUGACAAUUCCAGUAGCAUGAUUGAAUGACAGGCUCACGAACAAAAUCGAAGAAGAACGAAGCAAAGAUUUAUAGAGAAGGGGAAAAUGUCAGAAAGGGAAAAGACAACUUCAGAAAAUUGAAGAAACUAACGUCAAAGGGAAUUUGCGAAGAGAGAGAAAAAUAAUAAAAAAUUAAAAACGAAAAACAAAUAGAAUCCCAUAAUCUCCCAAUUUUAGGCAGAAUCUCCUACUAACCCAAUCCCAACUACCCACUCUCUUAUCCACUUACACUGACUUCCAAACACAUCCAAACUCUCUUAGACAACUGAGACAAAAAUUAAUAUUUACGCUCACACAAGGAUUCGAACACACGACCUCCAGCAAGCUAACUUCGAUAUGAGUUUACAAACAAUAUAACAUAAGCCUACUCAGCAGGAAUAAGGCUAGGAUAAAAAAUAACAGAAUUUGCCAAAAGUAAUACUUAAACCUAAGGCCUCAUAUACACACACUCAGAACACCUAACCACUAAAGUAGAUACAUAUUUUAUUUCAAAAUUUACAGAAACAGAAAUAAAUUAUUUAGGGCGUUACAUUACUCCUCUCCUCCAAAACUUCUUACUAGAAAACCUCCUACUUCAGUGGCCAAAAUAAAAGUUUCUGUAUCAAAGUGCACAUUGAAAUAAAGUUCAUGUAUAAAUUUAAAAUUUAUCCCUAAAUUUUUAUUCAAAAAUAUGUAUAUACCUGCUAAAUGAAAUUAACUUACUGAUUUAGAUACUUACCAAACUUCAUCAAAUUUUUUUUUCUAAUUUUCACACUUUCCUUCCAUUCUUCAUGUAUUCAAAUGAGAUGGAAGCUUGACAAAGAGAGGGAAUGCAAUUGUGUACCCUCAUUUACAAGUGACUCCACUAACUGAAAUCUGAAUUCAAACAUAGCGGGUUCAUUAAACUUGCAUGGUGUUACUAAGACCUUUGAUAAGCGUUUUAAGAUAUGGUUGAAACAGUACAAGGUGGGAGGUAGAGCAAUUAAGCAGCAAAUAAGUCACUAUAAAGAUACAUCGAUUAAUCAUAAAUCUUUCUAGCCAUAAGGAUAAGAUCUUUUUUUUUUAGCACAGCAAGACCAGGUACGGCAUCAAAGUCCAAAUCUUCUUUAUUCAUCCCAGUAGGCAUUUCCCAAUCAAACUUGUAAAGAAGAUUAGCAAGGGCAAGCUCUACUUCUGCAACUCCUAUACGCAUUCCUGGGCAAACCCUUCUACCCGCAC
rnacentral:lncRNA from 1 species